CAACUGAUUAGAGUAGCGAAGCACUGUGUGCUGCAGGGAAAGAGAAAUGAGAGAGAAAGGAGGUGAAAAUGCAAUCAACUGUCUUCUCUUUCCACCUCCCGGCGGGCAGUAUUAGGAAGGAAUGAGCCGUGUGCGUGCCCAACCUGUCCGCAUCGCAGCUGCAGGUCGUAAAAGUCAGGAAGCAUAAAUCGAGCCAAGAGAAAGGCGCUGCAGAAAUAUUUCAAUGAACUAUACGCAGCGUCGAAAUCCGACUAGCAAACAGUGAACGAGAACAAGUGGGCAGCCAUUGUUCAACAUGUUUCCAUUAAUCUGUCGUCAUCAAAUACCUUUUUUUUUUUGUUGUUGUUGCUGCGGACUCUAUAGGAGUGAUACGUGAAUCGCCUUAUCAAUCAAGGACGGCCAACGAAAUUGUUUCGCUUUCUAACGAUUAUCACUCGCGUCACACAACAAAAUAUAUCCUGAACAUUGGAACACCUAAUGCAUACAACGCCAGUUUCAAAAUUCCACCAAGACACGGCGUCAACGGUUUACUACAGUGCUACCAAAUAAUAUCAUAGAGGAUUUUAAAAAAUGAAUAACUCCUGCCAGUUUUAUUUGGUGACUUAUGUAAAGAAAUCACAAGCAAACCGGCUAUUUUUUAGGCCAAAAUUAAGACAAAGAUGUUGCCAAAUGAGGUCUCGAGUAAUAGCCCCAUCACAGCAGUGGAAGCCCCGCUCUGUCAUUGUUUCAAAAAUAUCGAGGCAGCAACGGACCGCGAAAUGACGUAAUUUACAUCUCGGUGUGUGUCUUGUUGGAAAUGGCAUUGAGGGCGCGGGAAGUGUUGCAGGAACAAGAAAAUCGACAGUCUCAACCGGCAGACGGGAAGCAAGAAACGUGUAUACAUCCCUUUGCAUCCAAAGUGCCUGAUGUGCGGUUUGACCCUUGACGACGGUGCAAGACGGGAGAAAUCGGGUGAGGAAAAAUAGACGGCGGGAUUCAUUUUUUGCUUUUGUUCUACCCCCUCAGGUGUUGCGGAAUCGGGCUAGAUUGUUACACGCUCGAAACAUGAGACAUCUUUUAAAAAAAUUGCGCCUGUAGCUGACUGCGUAACACCAUCAUUCGCCAGCUUUCUACACGGAACCUUUCCCACAGAUGUACUAAACAAUCAAACAAUGUUUUCCUUCUCGUCCUACGUAAACAUUGAACACUGCGAAACAAAGUUUUAUUUCUUUGACUAUUGACACAAAAACGCAUUUUCAAGUUAUUGAAAACUGCAACCGAAACGAACUCGAUAAAAAAAAAACAAAAAAACAGUGGCAUUACAUUCGGUGUAAUGAUCUUUGGUAUCAUUACACUUUCGGAAUUAGAGUAGGCUAACAUAUACAAAAUUUGGACACCAUUGGCUACUCAUAAUAUCUUAGACAAUAAAGUCUUAUCUCCUAUGUAGGAGAAAUCCGCUAGUAAACGAGAUAGCCAAUGAUGUCUAACUUUAAUUUGAUGAUAAAAACGAAGUUUCAAAAGUCAACGUUGACUACUAUUUUGAUCUAAAUUCUUUGAAGAAAAUCCUUGAAUAUUUUGAAGCUUUGAUGAAAAUGCAGCUUUACAAUGAAUUUAAAAAUCAGAGAGUCGGUUUAAAUCUUACCGCCGCAAUUCCCGCCGCAACGAAAUCGCAAAACAACACUUCACCAUCGGCCAUCUGUUGACCGAGCUCGGAGUUAUUGUCCAAAGAAGAAAGCCAGUUAUGGAAACUUUCAUCCGACGUGAUCGUUGUCAAAGAAGCAAAGUUGUCUUCGCUACUCUGAAGUGGUGGCAGAGAGAUUUCUAGUUCUUGUUCGUUCGUGUCUACGCUUUCCAGCUGAAGUGAGUCUAACAAACUGUGAAAACUGAGAAGCCACUCGAGAUAGUCGUCCAUCUCAAUAGGCCACACAUCGUAGUCUUCCUCACUGUCCAUAGUCUCCGACACUUCAUGGACUUCCAGUUCCAGACUGUACACCUCGAGCAAGGAUUGCUCCAUAUCGCGUAAGAAAUAAAAGUGGAAGAGUUAAACAAACAAAAAAACUCGAUUGUACGAUGAAGACCGUGGAUUUCCCUCGACUGUUACUUGAAUUUGACUGACGGCUUUGAUCGGCGUUCCAUAAGCAUUUUAUAGAGGAGUCGAAGGAAUGUCUUCUUCGAAAGAAAAACCCUUUAAAAGAACGUCAGUAAACCGUUAAUCGACUCCCGUUGGGUGGAUGGAUACAAAAGGAGAUCACCCCGACGAGAAAUAAUCGUUGCAUCAUCGAAUCCUAUAGCGCUUCGAAUCGUGAUUGACCUCGAUCGUCUGUUCAUAGCUCAACGGCUAUUCAAAGCUCAGCACCGAUUCGAAUGCAGAGGCACUGAAUAAACGGUUUGCUUACCUA
rnacentral:lncRNA from 1 species